rnacentral:rRNA from 1 species
UACGUAGGUGACAAGCGUUGUCCGGAUUUACUGGGCGUAAAGAGCGCGCAGGCGGUCGAUCAAGUCGAGUGUGAAAGCCCCCGGCUCAACUGGGGAGGGUCAUUCGAUACUGAUCGACUCGAAGGCAGGAGAGGGUAGUGGAAUUCCCGGUGUAGUGGUGAAAUGCGUAGAUAUCGGGAGGAACACCAGUGGCGAAGGCGACUACCUGGCCUGUUCUUGACGCUGAGGCGCGAAAGCUAGGGGAGCAAGCGGG